GAGUUUGAUCCUGGCUCAGAUUGAACGCUGGCGGCAUGCUUUACACAUGCAAGUCGGACGGCAGCACAGAGAAGCUUGCUUCUUGGGUGGCGAGUGGCGAACGGGUGAGUAACAUAUCGGAACGUACCGAGUAAUGGGGGAUAACUAAUCGAAAGAUUAGCUAAUACCGCAUAUUCUCUGAGGAGGAAAGCAGGGGACCUUCGGGCCUUGCGUUAUUUGAGCGGCCGAUAUCUGAUUAGCUAGUUGGUGGGGUAAAGGCCUACCAAGGCGACGAUCAGUAGCGGGUCUGAGAGGAUGAUCCGCCACACUGGGACUGAGACACGGCCCAGACUCCUACGGGAGGCAGCAGUGGGGAAUUCUGGACAAUGGGCGCAAGCCUGAUCCAGCCAUGCCGCGUGUCUGAAGAAGGCCUUCGGGUUGUAAAGGACUUUUGUCAGGGAAGAAAAGGACAGGGUUAAUACCCCUGUCUGAUGACGGUACCUGAAGAAUAAGCACCGGCUAACUACGUGCCAGCAGCCGCGGUAAUACGUAGGGUGCGAGCGUUAAUCGGAAUUACUGGGCGUAAAGCGAGCGCAGACGGUUACUUAAGCAGGAUGUGAAAUCCCCGGGCUCAACCUGGGAACUGCGUUCUGAACUGGGUGACUAGAGUGUGUCAGAGGGAGGUAGAAUUCCACGUGUAGCAGUGAAAUGCGUAGAGAUGUGGAGGAAUACCGAUGGCGAAGGCAGCCUCCUGGGAUAACACUGACGUUCAUGCUCGAAAGCGUGGGUAGCAAACAGGAUUAGAUACCCUGGUAGUCCACGCCCUAAACGAUGUCAAUUAGCUGUUGGGCAACUUGAUUGCUUAGUAGCGUAGCUAACGCGUGAAAUUGACCGCCUGGGGAGUACGGUCGCAAGAUUAAAACUCAAAGGAAUUGACGGGGACCCGCACAAGCGGUGGAUGAUGUGGAUUAAUUCGAUGCAACGCGAAGAACCUUACCUGGGUUUGACAUGCACCAGACGGUUGUAGAGAUACGUACCUCCCUUUGUGGUUGGUGUGCAGGUGGUGCAUGGUUGUCGUCAGCUCGUGUCGUGAGAUGUUGGGUUAAGUCCCGCAACGAGCGCAACCCUUGUCUUAUGUUGCCAGCACUUUGGGUGGGGACUCAUGAGAGACUGCCGGGGUUAACUCGGAGGAAGGUGGGGAUGACGUCAAAUCAUCAUGCCCUUUAUGCCCAGGGCUUCACACAUGCUACAAUGGUUAGUACAACGCGCAGCAAACCUGUGAGGGUGAGCGAAUCGCUGAAAGCUAAUCUCAGUUCGGAUUGGGGUCUGCAACUCGACCCCAUGAAGUCGGAGUCGCUAGUAAUCGCAGAUCAGCAAUGCUGCGGUGAAUACGUUCCCGGGCCUUGUACACACCGCCCGUC
rnacentral:rRNA from 1 species